rnacentral:rRNA from 1 species
UACGUAGGAAGCAAGCGUUGUCCGGAAUCACUGGGCGUAAAGCGCGCGUAGGCGGAUCGCUAAGUCAGGGGUGAAAUCCCAGGGCUCAACCCUGGAACUGCCUUUGAUACUGACGAUCUGGAGAUCGGGAGAGGUUGGUGGAAUUCCGAGUGUAGAGGUGAAAUUCGUAGAUAUUCGGAAGAACACCAGUGGCGAAGGCGGCUCACUGGACUGGUAUUGACGCUGAGGUGCGAAAGCGUGGGGAGCAAACAGG